CGCAGCCGCGGUAAUUCCAGCUCCAAUAGCGUAUAUUAAAGUUGUUGCAGUUAAAAAGCUCGUAGUUGAAUUUCGGGAUCAAUAUGUUGGUCGUGCCUCGGUACGUACUAGCUUAUUGGUUUCUCCUUUCUGAAGAACCAUGAUGUCAUUUAUUUGGUGUCGUGGGGAAUCAGGACUGUUACUUUGAAAAAUUAGAGUGUUUAAAGCAGGCUCACGCUUGAAUACAUUAGCAUGGAAUAAUGAAAUAGGACGUUUGAUUCUAUUUUGUGGUUCUAGGAUCGACGUAAUGAUUAAUAGGGAUAGUUGGGGCAUUAGUAUUCAAUUGUCAGAGGUGAAAUUCUUGGAUUUUUAUUGAAGACUAACUACUGCGAAAGCAUUUUGCCAAGGAUGUUUUCAUUAAUCAAGAACGAAAGUUUAGGGGAUCGAAGACGAUCAGAUACCGUCGUAGUCUUAAACCAUAAAACUAUGCCCGACUAGGAUCGGAUGAUGUUGAUUUUUUAAAUGACUCAUUCGG
rnacentral:rRNA from 1 species